GACGAACGCUGGCGGCGUGCUUAACACAUGCAAGUCGAACGGAAAGGCCCUGCUUUUGUGGGGUGCUCGAGUGGCGAACGGGUGAGUAACACGUGAGUAACCUGCCCUUGACUUUGGGAUAACUUCAGGAAACUGGGGCUACUACCGGAUAGGAGCUCCUGCUGCAUGGUGGGGGUUGGAAAGUUUCGGCGGUCGGGGAUGGACUCGCGGCUUAUCAGCUUGUUGGUGGGGUAGUGGCUUACCAAGGCUUUGACGGGUAGCCGGCCUGAGAGGGUGACCGGCCACAAUGGGACUGAGAUACGGCCCAGACGCCUACGGGAGGCAGCAGUGGGGAAUAUUGCACAAUGGGAGGAAGCCUGAUGCAGCAACGCCGCGUGCGGGAUGACGGCCUUCGGGUUGUAAACCGCUUUCGCCUGCGACGAAGCGUGAGUGACGGUAAUGGGUAAAGAAGCACCGGCUAACUACGUG
rnacentral:rRNA from 1 species